rnacentral:rRNA from 1 species
GGGUGAACCUGCGGAGGGAUCAUUACCGAGUUUACAACUCCCAAACCCAAUGUGAACGUUACCAAACUGUUGCCUCGGCGGGAUCUCUGCCCCGGGUGCGUCGCAGCCCCGGACCAAGGCGCCCGCCGGAGGACCAACCAAAACUCUUUUUGUAUACCCCCUCGCGGGUUUUUUAUAAUCUGAGCCUUCUCGGCGCCUCUCGUAGGCGUUUCGAAAAUGAAUCAAAACUUUCAACAACGGAUCUCUUGGUUCUGGCAUCGAUGAAGAACGCAGCGAAAUGCGAUAAGUAAUGUGAAUUGCAGAAUUCAGUGAAUCAUCGAAUCUUUGAACGCACAUUGCGCCCGCCAGUAUUCUGGCGGGCAUGCCUGUCCGAGCGUCAUUUCAACCCUCGAACCCCUCCGGGGGGUCGGCGUUGGGGAUCGGCCCUGCCUCUUGGCGGUGGCCGUCUCCGAAAUACAGUGGCGGUCUCGCCGCANCCUCUCCGGCGCAGUAGUUUGCACACUCGCAUCGGGAGCGCGGCGCGUCCACAGCCGUUAAACACCCAACUUCUGAAAUGUUGACCUCGGAUCAAGUAGGAAUACC